rnacentral:rRNA from 1 species
GUAGGUGGCAAGCGUUGUCCGGAAUUAUUGGGCGUAAAGCGCGCGCAGGCGGUUCUUUAAGUCUGAUGUGAAAGCCCACGGCUCAACCGUGGAGGGUCAUUGGAAACUGGAGAACUUGAGUACAGAAGAGGAGAGCGGAAUUCCACGUGUAGCGGUGAAAUGCGUAGAGAUGUGGAGGAACACCAGUGGCGAAGGCGGCUUUCUGGUCUGUAACUGACGCUGAGGCGCGAAAGCGUGGGGGAGCAAACAGGAUUAGAUACCCUGGUAGUCCACGCCGUAAACGAUGAGUGCUAAGUGUUAGGGGGUUUCCGCCCCUUAGUGCUGCAGCUAACGCAUUAAGCACUCCCGCCCUGGGAGUACGGCCGCAAGGCUG